ensembl:lncRNA
GCUGCCUUCUGCUAUUGAUAAUCGAUUUUGAUUGAAAAAUUUGUCCUUGUUCCCACAGCAUACCUGCAUGUUUAAUGAUGAGCCUUCAUCCAGUGGCUAAUGGAAGCAAAGGCAGACAAGCACAGCUAAACACUGAACUGAACUCCUGGAACCCAGUUGCAGAGAGAGAGGAGUGAUGAGCAAAGGGGUCAAGACUGGUCUGGUGAAAACCACAGAAACAGCUGACAUGAACAAGUGGGAGCUCAUGGACCCCAGACUGAUGGUUGAGAGGCCACCAUGGGACUGAUCCAGACUCCCUGAAUGUGGGUGUCAGUGAGGAGGCCUCCACAAUCUAUGGGGCCUUGGGUAGUAGAUCAGUAUUUUUCCUUGGUGCACGAAUGGAUUUUGGAAGCCCAUUCCACAUGGAGGAAUGCUCUCUCAACCUGGACACAUGGGGGAGGGUCUAGGAACUGCCUGGUAUGAUAUGACAGACUUUUGAGAUCCCCCAUGGAGGGCCUCAACCUCCCUGGGGAGUGGAGGGGUGAUGGGGUGGGCCUUGGGGGGGUUGGUGUGGGGCAGGGAAGGAGGGUAGGGAGAGGGAGCUGGGAUUGAUGUGUGAAACAAACUUGCUACUAACUUAAAUAAAAAAUAAAUUAUAAAAAAGCACUAUGUAUUAGGGCUGGAGAGAUGGCUCAACAAACACAAGUGCCAGCCGUUCUUCCCAAGGUCCAGAGUUUGAUUCCCAAAACCUGCAUAGCAGUUCAUAAUCAUCUGUAACCCUAGUUCUAGAAGAUUCAAUGCCCCUUUUUGACUUCCACAAGAAUUAGGAAAGCAUAUGUUACAGACACAUAUAUGUAGGCCAAUAUCCAUACACAUAAAAUUAAAAAGAAAAUAAUGUGUUGAAGUCAUCUUUCUUGUAACUUAUCAUGUCCUUCAAAGUGGUGCUAUCUUCAUUUGUCUUGGUAUGCAAGUGCACACACAGUGCUGAUAUUAUGAGAAGUUCAUGUGUUUAUAAACUCUGGCUUAUCAGGCUGAAAACAUUUCUUGCACUUAAGAGCACUGAACUGAAGCCAGUUUUCUGUAACUUCAAAGACUCAAAUGUUUUCCAUUAUACCACACUGCAUCCCAUUCCAGUCAUAAAAGUUCUAUUAUGUUUUGGCCUAAAUAACCAAUGGACCCCAUUUUUGCUCCCAUGGUAGUUGAUGAUUCUGUGGAGAAUUAUAGCAAACAAGCACCUACAUUCAUAUUUCUUUGACAACAUGGAUUGCAUUGGGCAUCUAAAUAUAAAUCCUGCCAUGCAGGGCUGAAAACAAAUAAUGUUCUGAGUAAACAUUAGCUGCUAUUUAAGCUUCUACAAUCCAGAGAAUGAGUUCAGUUAUUGUCAGUAAUACUUUUCUUUUCAUAAUGUCUUGAGUCAAAGAUUAGGCUUGUCCAUAGUUUGCAAAAUUGACAUUAUAAUUCUAUGAGAUUAGAUUCAGUGCUUUACUGUUUAUAUCCAUAUCUAUUAUACUCCCCUUCCCAUGAUGGUUUGAGGAAUGCUCCUUCUCUUAGCCCUGAAGAUCAUUCUUCAUAACAAGAUCCCCAUUUUUCCUGUAGCUCAGUUAGAUCCUCACAGGAUCAUUUCAAUGGGUUCUUAUAUUUCUGCCCCUAGCUUGGUUAAGUCAUGUGAAUUUCAUAUUUAGAUAUCACCCGUGAGCCCUCCAAAAAAUCAGGACAAGCAACAUUCUUUACCAUCUAUCCUGAUUGUUUCUAUGUCCAUUGCUUCCUUCAUGGCUCCUGUCCAGCUGGUGGAGCAGCAGAGGGAUUCACAUGACUAACUACUUCCUGUGGUGGACUAUUCUCACCUGCAGAUAGAAUGUAAGGUUUAGGCUUAGUGUGCUUCCUGCUGUUACCCCAAGACAAAGAGAAUCAAGAGACCAAUUGAGCACCACUAGAGAGUAGGAAGAAAAAUUACUGGAGACUAGUUCUUAGCUCAGUCCUACAGGGAUUUAUCCCAUUUCCUAGAGUGUGUAGGGCUCCAUAUAGAAAUUCUAUCAGAGAAUAACCAAAGUGCACAUGAACAGCAGUAAUUUCAAGGUGCACCUCAAUAUCUGGACAGGAACCAUGAAAGAAGCUAAUAGCCAUAGAAGUGAUCAGAAUAGAUGGGAGCCUCUACCUUUAAGUUAUAUUUUCUUUGGUACUUAAAUGUCUAAGCAAGGAUUUUAGACACUAGCUCUCUUACAAUCACACAGUACAUUCCAUGCCAUAUUAAAGGGUAUUAUUUCUGAUAAUUUACCUUGUCACUAAGUCUUCCUGUGCAGGGUUGAAGAAGCACAUUUGCGCUCAUUUCAACUCUUGCACAACACAGUAGAACAGGGAUUACAGAGUGCCAGAAGAUACAAUGAAGGCUACUGCGGAUAAAAAACAUCAGUGGUUUACCCAUCUCUGGAUCCUGCAUGCUAUAGCACUUACAUGCUGUCAAGAUGUAAACACUGGUGUCAAAGUGGCAGGACAGGGAGGUAAUCAACUGCUUCUUGAUUACAUUAGAUAUAAAGCUGGUUUCACGGGAGGGAUCUUAGGUCUGGUAUUGUAAACCUUGUCAAAAGCCCCAAAGAGUGGAUCAUAGACUUCAGACGUGGUCAGGGAAGCUUCUUUUGCAGUGGAAAGUGGUUAACACAGAGCUCCCUAACUGUUCAAAGUGCUGAGUGUAAAAAAAAUGAGUGCCCAGCUGUGUAUCUAUGUCAACCUAUAUCAACUUCCCUCAUUCUAAAUCUCAGGGAACUUUGCAGAAGAGGAAGCAGAAACAAUGUAAAAGUCAUCAGAUGGGGAGAAGAUCUGUAAAAUGCAGACUUCUGAAUGGGACAUGGCUGUUGAACACAUCAGCUCCCAGCAGCUAGGGUGGCCAACACAAAACCUGCAAGAGAUAAAACCAGUUAGAAUUCUGCAUGGACAAGGGAUGGAAACCUGAGGCCUAACCACAAGUGGAAGAACUAUUUGUACUAUGGAAGGCAGAGUUACUUCCUUUGUGGAUAUGGCUGCUAGUCGUUUGCUUAUACUAAGGUAUUGCUGUAUAUUCAUGCACAUAAAUGCACUAGUUGGACACAGUGUUUUAUAAUAAUGAUAAAAAAGACAAAGUUGUGAGGGAGAUAAGUUGUGAGACCAUAGGAGGAAUCAGUUAAAGAUAGUGGUGGAUAUAUACAAUCUAUAUACAUGGUAUAAACUUAUGUAUAAAAUGUUCAAAAGAUACAAAUAUUAUUUAAAAAUAAAAGCAGUUAUAAUACAAUAAAAAGUAUGCAAAGAGUAUUUGACUAAAUAUUAAUAUAAUCAUAUAUCUCCUUUUUAUCUCUUCCAGUUCCUCUUGGAUCCCUCCAAACACAUCUUCCUCUCAACUUUAUGUCUUCCUUAAAAAAAUAAAAAACUCAGUGCAUACAAUUAGUUCUGUCUUUAUGUACAUGGAUGUGGAGCCAUCCACUAGACUAGACUAUGUAUAAUAUCUUGUGGUUGUACUCUUAAAGAAUUAUUCUCCCUCCCCUAUUAUAUAUCAACUGUCAUUUAUGCUGGGACUUUGGCUGGUUUUAUCUUAGACUGUGUUUGUUGAUGUAACCACAGCUACAGUGGGUUCAAGGAAUAGCAUCCAAAAGAGAGUUUCACAGUACGCACCCCAUUCUCCAGCUCUUACAUUCUUUUGGCAUCCUCUUCCAUGCUGUUUCUUGAGUUUGGGGGAGGGCAUGGGCAUUGUUAACGGUGUACCAUUUAGAGUUGAGCUAAAUUAACAUUGAUUUAUUAUUGGGAAUCUGAAUACUUGGGAACCUGCAUUGACCGAUGUCUACCUGCUGUUAAAACAAAGUUCUUCGACCAAGGUUGAGAGCAAACCAAGUCUCUGAAUAUAAGCAUAAUUAUAAGGCAAUUUGUAAAGAUGACUGAUAAGCAAAAUAGCAAUACCAGGCUUCACUCCAGAGCCUAUGGCCUCUUUAACCAAGGGCUUGGGACCUUAUUUUUAAUUCCAAAUAUGUGAUCGCUUUUGUGGAUCAGGCUUUUUUUUUUUCCAACUCCAAUCAGAAGGCAGCACAUAACAUUCAUGUCACUAUUUCACCAAUGGGCACAUAUUGUCUGGUUGGUCAGUAUUGUACUAUGCAUGGUCCAGUGCUGGAUAAGACCACUAACAUUUUCUCUCCACCACUCCACCUUCUGGCACUGUGAAAGACAGCUGGGAGGAAUUUUAUGGUCAGUUCAAGUCUGAUUUCUUAUUGUCCUGCAUCCAAAGGGAGUGUUGUCUUCAGUAGGGUCUUACUAUGUUCUUAUGAUGGUAAACCAGAGAAAUGACAAUAGCACACGAAGAGCUUAUAACAUUCGUAUUCUUCUCUGACAUAAUAUUUUAUUGCCAUAGAUUAACUAAUAAUAACAGAAAAGCAAUUUAACCCUGGAUAGCUAGUUUUGAUGGCACCAUGUAGCUUGGUUUGGGGUAAGGAGGCAAGGAAGUGCUGCUAAAACCAUGGUGGAGGUCAGAAGUCUUGAGUUUCAAAAGCACUGGCAUCUUUUACUGUCAUUAACGAGGGUGUCAUUCAAUCUGUCUCAGCUCAUACAACACCAUCUUUUCUUGAAGUGAUCGACAUUGUCCCCAACUAUUUUAUUUGUGUCUCCUCAUUUGACUAUCAUGCAAAGAGCUAGAUGAAUGGAGAUUUUGUAACUGGAUAGGAGGGAGUGUGACAUGAAAAUGUAUGAGCCUUGACUCCCAACAUCUGUAUUUUACACAUACAGGCUCUGCAUAUUUUGACUCAGAGUUUAGUGUGGGCAUUCAUUUUGUAAAAUUAUAAACAAACAAGCUUAUAUCUGUCAUUUCACUUUUGGGGGGAGAUACUUAGCAAAUCCACUAAUUUCAAUGUACUUUGAAAUUAGGCCAGUUAUCUAGUUAAUUCAUUUAUAUUUUAAUUUUGAUAAUUAAAACCAAAGAUAUUUACUUUAAUUUCAACCAUAUCCAGGUAUGUUAAAAUUUUUAAGUAGAAGUUUCUCUGAGGUCUACUGUACAUGACUAUCCUCUGAGCAAAACAACCGCCAUCUUUGAUAGUACAGCUAUGCCCACUUAAAAAGUGACAUUUGCAAGUUGUCCUCUGACCUCCAUGUGUGUGUGUGUCAUGGCAUGUACACAAAAUACAAAUAAGCAAAUAAAAAAGUGUAAUUUUUUAAAACUUUCCAUAAGCUGACAAUAGAGUUUAACUUGCUCAAAUUCAUAAAGAUCAUUUGCCUUUUAUUUCUGCAGACUGCCAGAGAGGACUAUAGUUCUCAAGGCAUUCAGCCCUACCAGAUAGGUAACCCUUAUUGUCUAUACAGUAUGGGUUAUUCAGCCAUGCUGCUUACUGGAAAUGCGGACUUGGGGAAAAUAUUUUAUAUUCAUAAACAUAUUUCCAAAUGUGAAAUAAUGAUAGCAUACUACACAUUUCACAGGGUUGUUAGCACAUUAAAUUAAAUGACAUAAAUUAUAUAUAAAGUAAACAAUAAAAAAAUUUCCACAAGGACUGAGGUGUUAAAAGGCAAUAGAGACACGAAGAGGCUUAGAGAAUUUAGGGAAGUAGGGAGAGUCCCAAUCUUGACAUUGAAAAUCAAGACACCAAGAAGAUGGUGACCCCAUGAUUGGAAAGUGCUGGCUGAAUGCAGUCAUCUAUAAGAAAAGAAGUCCGUGUUCCAGACUCCUUCACUUCAGCCCUCUUGGCUGAGCUGACAAGUUAAUUACUCAACUAUCAAGAGAUAACUUGGUUGCACUAACGCUUGUAACUGUAUAAUUAUCAAGGAGUUUCCAUGAAACAACAUGUGUUUGUAAAUAUACAAUUAAGUGGUUUCACUAUCAUUUACUAUGAAACAAUGCCUGCCUCUGGCACUUAAGGUACCAGCUGCUGGUCCCUGAAAUUAAACUUUUCUUAAAAUAGAACUAACUUUUUCAAAGGUGCCAACUCAUAGGACCCCACAGAAGCACAGUUAAUGCUGCCAAUUAUUCAAUCCCUUGGCCUGAAAAGUCAACUUUGCUGUUUCCUUGUAGGCUUUAAUGACCCCUGUCUAUUCCCUGAAACUAGGCUCAAGGGUCUGUUCUCUUCUUUAAACUGUAGAUUCCUUUGAACCAGAUGUUUCUCAUGCCUCCUUUAGCUCCUUUGGUCUUUUGUAUCUCUUAAGAUUUUUCACACAUUAUGCCUUGCUGCCAAACCACCAGUCUUGUCUCAAAUACAUUUGGGUCUUUGCUUUGUGCUAAGCCCGGUUUAAGAAAAUAGGAACACAGUCAUGAAUCAAGCAGAUAUGACCACAAACAACAUAGAAGGGAAAUAAUUCUAUUCAAAUCAUUGAAUAAAUGACACAUGUUUUCAAAAAGUUUUCAUUUUGUAUUACAUGCAUUUAUUUAUUUAUUUAUUUAUUUAUUUAUUUAUUUAUUUAUUGUGUGUGUAGGGCGGGAGUUGUUGGAGCAUGCAUGUGCGCAUGUGUUCCUAAAUGUUACAGUAUGUGAAUGGAGGUCAGAGGAAAACUUGAGGAAAUUCCUUCUCUCCUUUUACCACAUGGGUCCUGGGGAUUAAAGACAGGUUUCAGGUUUGGCAGCAAGUACCUUUAUUAGCUGAUCCAUCUCAUCAGCCUGUGAUACAUCUUUUAGAGAAUGGGAGAAACAGUCUUCUUCAGCAAAAAGUAUACCAGUUGGUUAUUUAAUACUAAAUAUACAAUCCUGAAAACAUGCAUAUGCAUACCAUUAUUCAGAUUGAAUAGGUUAUAUUUAGAAAUAUAUGUAUAUAUACAUGUACAUAUAUGCAUGUAACAACAAUGAAAAUAGAAGUGAUGAAUAUGAAAGAGAAUGAGGAGGGUAUAUAGGAGGGUCUGGAGGGGAAAAAGGGAAGGGAGAAAUGAUGUAUUUAGAGUCUUAAAAAUUAAAAUAAGGAAAUGUCACACACUAUAUAAAAAAAACCCACAAAUAUUCUAGUGCCAUGUCUGUUACCUCUGUUACUAGAUUAAACUCCUGUAGCUCUAGCAUCACUCUCUCACAUAUUCAAUGGUUAUUUAUUUAGCACAUACAUUGUGCUCUUUUCUGGGUAAUGUGCUUAGGAUAUUACAACAACCAGAAAGGACUGUCUCUACUUAUAUGGACUCAGUCACCUGACACUCACAGACACUCUGCAUUUUGAUCUUUCCAGAGGGAUAAGAACCUGUAAAUUAUUAAUGGGGUUACCUUUAUGAUGUCCAGGGGGAUGUGUCUAACAUGUAUUAUAGUUAUUGUUCCUUAGGAGCUUAGUGCUCCUUUGUUAAUGCCCACACAUAAGAACUUAGAUUUUGCUAUUUCUGAUGGCUUUCUAAAUUUUUUUGAAGAAAAAUUGAAAAACACAAGACAUGGAUGUUAAGGCAAAAGCACAAAAUUCUCCUACUGAGAAUUAACUUUUUCUGUGAAAAAUUUCAUUCCUGCCCUUGGAAAGUAAAAAGUAAAAGUGCUAUGUUCUCCUAUUCUUUGGUAUAUAAAAUAUUUUCUAUAAUGUUAAAAUAU